CAGUCAUGUCGGUUGGUUUCAGCUAGCUCUGCUAGUGUAUUACCUUCCGACGGGUCAACAUCAGUUUUGGUGCGGCGGAUAAGAACGGAUUGAAGGUGGCACCCUCGGGUGUGUUAUAGCUUUCUGUUGCAUACGCUGCCUGAGACUGAGGACUGCAGCUCGCCUUUAUGGCCGGCCUUCGGGCACGUUCGAGCUUAGGAUGUUGGCAUAAUGGCUUUAAACGACCCGUCUUGAAACACGGACCAAGGA
rnacentral:rRNA from 1 species